UUUAAAGAGAGUUUGAUCCUGGCUCAGGACGAACGCUGGCGGCGUGCCUAAUACAUGCAAGUCGAACGAACGGAGGAAGAGCUUGCUCUUCCAAAGUUAGUGGCGGACGGGUGAGUAACACGUGGGCAACCUGCCUGUAAGUUGGGGAUAACUCCGGGAAACCGGGGCUAAUACCGAAUGAUAAAGUGUGGCG
rnacentral:rRNA from 2 species